AGAGUUUGAUUCUGGCUCAGGAUGAACGCUAGCUACAGGCUUAACACAUGCAAGUCGAGGGGCAGCAUGGUCUUAGCUUGCUAAGAUUGAUGGCGACCGGCGCACGGGUGAGUAACGCGUAUCCAACCUUCCCUAUAGUAGGGGAUAGCCCGUAGAAAUGCGGAUUAAUACCCUAUGUUGUAUUUUGAGGACAUCUGACGAAUACCAAAGGUUUACCGCUAUAGGAUGGGGAUGCGUCUGAUUAGGUAGUCGGCGGGGUAACGGCCCACCGAGCCAACGAUCAGUAGGGGUUCUGAGAGGAAGGUCCCCCACAUUGGAACUGAGACACGGUCCAAACUCCUACGGGAGGCAGCAGUGAGGAAUAUUGGUCAAUGGGCGAGAGCCUGAACCAGCCAAGUAGCCGUGCAGGAUGACGGCCCUAUGGGUUGUAAACUGCUUUUAUGCGGGGAUAAAGUGAGGGACGUGUCCCUUAUUGUAGGUACCGCAUGAAUAAGGACCGGCUAAUUCCGUGCCAGCCGCCGC
rnacentral:rRNA from 1 species